UUACAGAGUUUUCUAACUCCCAAACCCAUGUGAACUUACCACUGUUGCCUCGGCGGAGCCUACCCUGUAGCUACCCUGUAGCGUGAUUACCCUGUAGGGUGGUUACCCUGUAGCGUGGUUACCCUGUAGCGCCCCGCCGGCGGAUUUUCAAACUCUUGUUAUUUUUUAAGUCAUCUGAGAGUCUUAUUUUAAAUAAGUCAAAACUUUCAACAACGGAUCUCUUGGUUCUGGCAUCGAUGAAGAACGCAGCGAAAUGCGAUAAGUAAUGUGAAUUGCAGAAUUCAGUGAAUCAUCGAAUCUUUGAACGCACAUUGCGCCCAUUAGUAUUCUAGUGGGCAUGCCUGUUCGAGCGUCAUUUCAACCCUUAAGCCUAGCUUAGUGUUGGGAAUCUAUGUGUGGCCCAAGCUACCCUGUAGCGUGGUUACCCUGUAGUUCCUGAAAAACAACGGCGGAUUUAUAGUGUCCUCUGAGCGUAGUAAUUUUUUAUCUCGCUUCUGUUUAGGCGCUGCAGACCCGGCCGCUAAACCCCCAAUUUUUCGUGGUUGACCUCGGAUCAGGUAGGAAUACCCGCUGAACUUAAGCAUAUCAAUAAGCGGAGGAAAAGAAACCAACAGGGAUUCCCCUAGUAACGGCGAGUGAAGCGGGAACAGCUCAAAUUUGAAAUCU
rnacentral:rRNA from 1 species